CCCAGGAUGGCCGAGUGGUUAUGGCAUCAGACUGCUGAUCUAGGAGUGUUUCAAAUCGCAGGUUCGAAUCCUGCUCCUGGGA